rfam:Gorilla gorilla gorilla genomic chromosome, chr10, whole genome shotgun sequence
GCCGGGCGCGGUGGCUCACGCCUGUAAUCCCAGCACUGUAGGAGGCCGAGGCAGGUGGAUCAUCUGAGGUCAGGAUUUCGAGACCAGCCUGACCAACAUGGUGAAAGCCCGCCUCUA